UCCAAAUUUCACAUUUCCUUUUUUUAAUGGUUGUUCCAUGUUUUGUUUUGUACGUACCCUUCUUAGUGCAGUAUAAAAAGUUCCGUUAUUUCGUUUUGGUCAAUAAUUUAAAUUAAUUUUUUUUUCUACCAAGAAACAAAUCCAAACGAAUUGUGACAUUCAAAGCUCCGAUCCUCUCCUUCCCCAUCAAAAUUCAACCACAGAGCCCGAACUCCUCCUGAUUUUCUUUUCCUUCUGUUCUCUUUUGGUUAAGUACGAACACGAAAUUGAGGCUUUUGUUUCUCGUUUGCAAUUUUUUUUUUUUUCAAAAAAAAAAAAAACUAUUUAAAUUUAAAUGAGUUCGGAAGGGUAUUAUCAUAUCUUCAGCUGAUUCAGCGCGGUAGCUACUGCACUUCUCAAAUGAAAUACAUAGACAAAUCUUCUCAUAGAAACGAAGCAGAUGGAAGGCAUUGAUAGUUCCAUCCAAAAGGAUUAUUACAAAGUUUUAGAGGUUGAUUAUGAUGCAACUGAGGAGAAUAUCAGAUUAAAUUACCUGAGGCUUGCACUGAAGUGGCAUCCUGACAAGCACAAGGGUGACAGUGCUGUCACGGCAAAGUUCCAGGAGAUCAAUGAAGCUUACAAAGUGUUGAUUGAUCCUGAUAAACGAAUUGACUAUGAUCUAACCGGAAUCUACGAGAUUGAUAAGUAUACUUUGCGGGAAUAUCUUGCCAGAUUUAAAGGAUUGAUACUUACCUGCAAUGGGCUUGGCAUCAGUCAAUCGCCAACAAGGAUCCUAUUCAAAGGGGAACUGUUUUGUGAAAAAGGAAGUGAUAGCAACUGCACUAGAUUGAUGUGCACGUGAGGCUCCAAUGCUGGAAGCUGAAUGGGAUGUUAGAGAUCUUCUAUGAAUACUUUUUUCACAGCUGUAAACAGAUAUAAUGAUGAUAUUGGGAUUAGUUCUGGCCCUCAGUUUCUGCAUAUGCUUCCUAAGGACACAGCAGCAACUGACAGAAACCAAUGAGUUAACAGAUAAAUAUGAGGAAUAGAGUUUUCACUGAAUGCUAAAAAUCACCAUCAACUGCUUCAAGGUCUUUUUGACAGAAGCUAUCCGAGAGCUCCUGAACCAAAGGCAGGGAAGCACUGAGAUGGUGCUGUUCCAUCAGGAAUCUUGUUUUUGACCAGAUUGGGUGGGAGUGCCGUCCUUUGGAACAGUGUGAAAACGCAAGGGUUUGGUUUCAAAGUCAUGACAUUGAAAAAUGUCACAAAGAAAAGAGAUUGUUUCCAUAUGCCCGAAAGUUGAAAAGAUUAGUACAUAGAAACUAAGAAUGUGAUGUCUGAUUUGGAAAGUCUCAAAUCUACCUCCAAAAAGCUACUAAACUUCUAUUUUGUGGAGAUUAUUAUGUCUCUUGUAUAUUUAUUUCUCCUGAUGGUUAUGGACAUGAUUUUCUUCCUUUUUUCUUUUU